ACCCCUUUUCUGAGAGGAAAAAUAGCCACAGUGGAGCAACCAGGGGUCUAUGACUCUUGACUCCACGCAGAAACUCGUUUGUAGCCAGAUAGCACUCCCACCAGGCGGAAAAUCACUCUUACUACAGACCAUGCCCCGACCCAAAACUCUAGUUUUUUCUGUUUAGUAUUCCCUGCAAGAGAGUACCCCUUUUCUGAGAGGGAAAAUAGCUAUAGUGGAGGAACCAGGGGUUUAUGACUCUGCUUUCACAUUGAUAAAUUUUAAGAAGGGGCAAUUAAAGCUUCAAGCAUUCCAUAAUCACAAGAUAACAUCACCUCAGAUUGGAAAGUAUUUCCCAUGCAAAAGCUGAGUCUCAAGGUGAACAGUGCACCGAAUCUCUAGGCUUCGCAUUCUCAAAUUCGCCUUUCGUUCAUCAUCGCUUCUACUAUCUUGACGUGGUAACAGACAAAACACAAUGAGUCUGUCGUUGUGAGAGGACUAGCGGAUAAACCUGGAAACUGAAAAGUACUAGUGGUGGGAGGAGCUAUGUUAAUGUGCCAAAACACCAUCGCCAAAUCAAAAAAAUUGCAUUAUUUUGUUUUAAAAAAAUUAUUACAAAAAAAAAUAUAUAUGAAUAAAAAAAUCAAUUUUAUUUUACCGAAGAAAAGAAAAAAAAAUAGAAUAAAUUUAAAUGUUGUAUUAAGUCCACAUUGAGUCUUAAUUUUUACAUUACACUGAUCAAAUAUUCAGGGUUUUUUCCCCUUUGUUACUGUAACCCAUCCAUCUUCAUCAGGUUCACUUCUAGUUGAUUUCCUUGUGGUAUCUAAAUCUUCUCUGUGAUUUUGCAAAGAACCUUCAAGAUCAUUCUCUUCAUUCAAUGUAGAAUUGUCAUGAUUUGUGGUGGUUUUGGAGAGAUGAACAGAGCUGCCUUUAAAUUUCUUUAAUUCUAAAAUGACUUCUGCUUCGUUUCCAUCCUUGAUUAAUUGGAAGUAUUUACACAAGCUUUCCCCCAUCUCUUCGAGACUGCCAUCCUCACACAAAGUGUUGAAUUCAUUAUUCAUAAGAUCUUCCAUGUACUCUGCAAUUUCCUGAGCCAAAACAUUAUCUAAAAAUAUUUUUAACAAUUAUUAAAAAACUACUUGUGGAAGUAAAUUGCAUAAAACUACCAUUUUCUUUAAAAAAAUUUUCUACUACAGUUACCAUCCAUUUUGCUAUUUCUUUGCUUUGUGUUCCACCCAACUGGUGCUCCACUGCAAGCUGUUAAAACCAACAAACAAAUUGAAUCACUCGAAAAUUUAUUUUGGCGAAAAAUAUCCACACAAUUUACCUGCAGUGCAGUCCAAUUAUUAAAGAGAGUUUCCACUACCGUAAAAAACAAACUCAUGCUUGCAAAUUCAAGAACAUGUGUCAGUGUCUCAGGCGUGUAAGCAGACGACAAACAAAAAGAAAACAUAAUCGACAGCCGUCCAGUCAGGAAGACAAGGUAACACGCAUACAUGCAAAUUUAGGAGUGAAUCGUUUGCCAGUGCUAGUAGCUGUGACUGAUUCAUACAUCUUUUCAAGUGUUUUAAUGCAGUCAAGAAGUUUAAAAGAUCUCUUGGACAAAUGGCCUGGUAAAAAGUAUCUGGGUAUCUAUCGAUUCCUACCCAUCUUCUUUGCAUUAGGUGCUGCUCUGGAGUUUUCUAUGAUACAUUGGAAAGUGGGAUCAACAAAUUUCUGUAAGAUCUAGUUAUUAAAAAAUUUUCAUUCAAGUUACGUUAACAAUUUGUUACUUUCCCUCAGACUCUACAUUCAAGAAAAGCCAAGCAGAAAA